rfam:Hordeum vulgare subsp. vulgare, WGS project CAJW01000000 data, contig: morex_contig_59203
AAAGUACUACCUUCGUCCCAAAAUUCUUGUCUUAUAUUUGUCAAGGUACAAAUGUAUCCAACACUAAAACGUGACUUGGUACAUCCGUAUUUUGGCAAAUCUAAGACAAGAAUUUUGGGACGGAGGGAGUAGUUU